GGCACUUGUACUCGUUGCUGUGCAACGAUGGCUAAAGA
rfam:Lachnospiraceae bacterium 5_1_57FAA genomic scaffold supercont1.2, whole genome shotgun sequence.